GGUGGGAGUUCAAUAUUCUAUAAGAGCAACUAUCCCAAACGUGAUGAAUCGAACACGCUCACAACUGCCCAGGCCGUCAUUCAAAUCAACAUUACCUGGUCCAAGAUGAGACUCAACCUUCUUUUCUUCUUGUCCCUGUGGAUGACUUCAAUCCUCGCAACACACGGGCUUCCCUCGGACUGCUGCGUUGGCUUGUCCAAGACCAAAGUCUCACUGAGAAAAAUUAAGUCUUAUGGUUUUCAGUCUCUGGGCGCCUGCUCCAUCAAGGCCGUAGUGUUUCGCACUAACGGAAACAAAAGAAUUUGCGCAGACCCCGACAGUUGUUGGACACAGAGAGCCAUUUUAAAAGUGGAUGGAGGACUUUUGCAGCAGCAGGAAGCGAGUAACAGCAAUUCGACAAGUGUCAAUGGGACAACUGGCCCAUGCACCUCGUUGAGGAAGUCACAAAGGAAGAAAAGAGGAAAACAAAGGGUGUAGAUAUCUAGCUGGUAUCUCUGUCUUUAUAUCUAAUUUAUCUCUAUAUCAAAUCUGUAGUGCUUACAUUUUUCAUGGCGGAUGUAAAAAUAUUUGUUACACAUUUUCAUCCACUCUGAUGAUUUAAAGGAGUUUAUACUAUAAUUAUCAGUACACUCUAUUAUACUGUCCAAAGUUGUACAGUCGUAAGCGUUUGACAUGCAAGACUUGAUAAAAAUAAAGAAAAUGUAUUCUUAAA